UCUCUGGUGGCUCAGAUGGUAAAGUGUCUGCCUGCAAUGCAGGAGACCCAGGUUCGAUCCUUGGGUUGGGAA
rnacentral:tRNA from 1 species